GACGAACGCUGGCGGCGUGCUUAACACAUGCAAGUCGAACGGAAAGGCCCUGCUUGCAGGGUACUCGAGUGGCGAACGGGUGAGUAACACGUGGGUGAUCUGCCCUGCACUUCGGGAUAAGCCUGGGAAACUGGGUCUAAUACCGGAUAGGAGCCAUUUUUAGUGUGAUGGUUGGAAAGUUUUUUCGGUGUAGGAUGAGCUCGCGGCCUAUCAGCUUGUUGGUGGGGUAAUGGCCUACCAAGGCUGCGACGGGUAGCCGGCCUGAGAGGGUGGACGGCCACAUUGGCACUGAGAUACGGCCAAGGCUCCGACGCGUGGGAGAAGUGGGGAAGAGUGCAAAAUGGGCGCAAGCCUGAUGCAGCGACGCCGCGGGGGGGAUGACGGUCUUCGGGUUGUAAACGCAUUUCGCUAGGGACGAAGCUUUUUGUGACGGUACCUAGAGAAGAAGCACCGGCUAACUACGUG
rnacentral:rRNA from 1 species